UAGGUAUGUUUGUUAGUCACGUGACCAAGCACUUGCACGUUUUACCAUGGAACAGGUGGAAAUACGUCGUUUAAAACUUGAGCUAGAGGCCAAGGACAAAGAAAUUGAAAGACUGAGAGCAGCGAUAGAAGAGCAGGCUGAUUUUGAAACAGUGACUGAGGUCAGUGGUCCAUCAACAGCAACAAGCAAAAGAAUUGUUGAGCUGACAAAAGAAGGUAUCGCUCGCUACAGCAGGCAGCUCAUUCUCCCUGAGAUAGGUGUUCAAGGUCAGUUGAGAUUACAGAGGUCCUCUGUUCUGAUUGUUGGGGCCGGAGGUUUGGGGUGUCCUGCUGCAAUCUACCUGGCGGCAGCAGGGAUAGGUAAGCUGGGUGUCAUAGACUACGACGAGGUGGAGCUGAGUAACCUGCAUCGUCAGGUGCUACACACAGAGGACAGAGUGGGUGUUGCCAAAUCAGCGUCGGCCACACAUGCUUGCAAGAGGCUGAACUCUUCAGUACAUUACAUCCCGUAUCGCCUUCAGUUGGACAGCUCCAAUGCCCUGGCCAUCAUCUCACAGUAUGAUGUUGUGCUGGAUGCUAGUGACAAUGUGGCGACCCGCUACCUUCUGAACGAUGCCUGUGUGCUGGCAGGGAAACCCCUGGUGUCGGGCAGCGCCCUCAGGUUUGAGGGGCAGCUGACCGUGUACAACCACCGAGGGGGCCCCUGCUACCGAUGCCUGUUCCCCAAACCUCCGCCGCCCGAAACAGUCACCAACUGCUCCGAGGGUGGUGUGCUGGGAGUAGUUCCUGGGAUCAUUGGGUGUCUGCAAGCCCUGGAGACUGUCAAGAUCGUGGCCGACAUCGGCACUAGUUCCAGCCAGCGCCUGCUGCUGUUUGAUGCCCUGGAUGGGAUGUUCCGCACCAUCAAGCUCCGUCCCCGGCAGUCCAAGUGUCCUGUGUGUGGAGACAACCCCUCCAUCACCCAGCUCAUGGACUAUGAACAGUUCUGUGGGGCCCGAGCUACUGACAAGGAACAUGCUCUAACAGUGUUAGAUGACUCCGAGAGAAUAUCCCCAAAGGUUUACCAAGAGAUGAUGGUGAAGGGGUCACCCCACAUUCUGGUGGACGUACGGACAGAGGUGGAGAUGGGCAUCUGUCAGCUACCACACCCUUCAGUCAAUAUACCAAUAUCUUCAAUAGACAAAGCUGAUUGUGUAGAGAGGUUGAAAUCAACAGUAAAGAAACAACCAACAGGUGGCAACAGCCCAGUAUCGGUUGUGCUGGUGUGUCGUCGAGGUAACGACUCUCAGAAUGCAGUCAGGUCCCUUCAACAUUCCUUGUCAGACUGUAAUGUGACACUAAAGGACAUCCGUGGAGGUCUGCAUGCCUGGGCCAGGCAGGUGGACAAGAACUUCCCUGUCUACUGAAGGACGUCCAUGGAGGUCUGGCCAGACAGGUGGACAAGGACUUCCCUGUCUACUGAAGGAUAUGCAUGGAGGUCUACAUGCCUGGGCCAAACAGGGGGACAAGACCUGUGUUGGUCACUGAAGGACACUUGUAAUGUAACACCCCUGUACAAGUACUACAAUCCAUAGUGUGGUUGCAGGAGCACUUUGUAUCAUAAAGAUGUCAUUUGGGUUUGAUGCACAUUAAGUUUUCAGUAACCAGAAUAUAAUUAUCAGUUACCUACACGAGGCAAUCUGGAGGAGGCUAGCCAUUGGUUGACAGUGUGAGAACAUUGUUUUAUCCCUUACAGGUCUGGUCACCACUGGCAAUAUUCACUCACUCAGAAGUAUGUAUUGGGGCAGGGUAGAUCUGAAUUAGAACAAUUUCAUUAUUUUAUGUAUAGGUCAUUUUAUUUACACAUCCAUGAACAAAUAAGCAACUGUUAAUUUUCUGA
rnacentral:misc_RNA from 1 species